rnacentral:rRNA from 1 species
UACAGAGGUCUCAAGCGUUGUUCGGAUUCAUUGGGCGUAAAGGGUGCGUAGGCGGCGCGGUAAGUCGGGUGUGAAAUCUCGGGGGCUUAACUCCGAAAACUGCAUUCGAUACUGCCGUGCUUGAGGACUGGAGAGGAGACUGGAAUUUACGGUGUAGCGGUGAAAUGCGUAGAUAUCGUAAGGAAGACCAGUGGCGAAGGCGGGUCUCUGGACAGUUCCUGACGCUGAGGCACGAAGGCCCAGGGGAGCAAACGGG